GCUCAGAUAGUUUAACAAAAAUGCUGGUUUGUGACGCCAGAGAUGCUGGUAAAGCUUUGGGCA
rnacentral:tRNA from 1 species